AUUAGCUUAAAACCAGGUGAGGAGUGAGAGCUUAAGAUUUGCAGUUACAAGCAAUCGUUCAAUAGUUUAUCAAGAAGUCAUAAAAGCAGUCCAUCACUCUGACAAUCCUGGCACCAUGUGUGUGAAAGACCAAAUUCCACAGCACUGGAAUGUGCCCCAGGAAAGGACAAGCUACUUGCUUUAAGCCUCUUCUCUCAGCUGGGGAUAGAUCCACUCUUCCUGCUUAUGCCACUGUCAAGGCUGAACAGGGCAAGACAAACAUGAGGAAUAAAAAAAAACAACAGGCAGACUUUCAUCCCAUAAAAUAAAAAGCCUCAAUAUUUAUGGUGGGAUGGGAGACGUCACCAAGAAGGGGAAAGAUGGAAUAAUAUUGGCAAACAGUCAAGCAAGUGAUACUUUCCCACUUCUGCACUGCAGGAUGAGGAGGACUCAGUGACAUUUCUAGCAAGUCUGACCUAUUUGUCAUCUGUGUAGAAAGAGUUUGCGUCAGCCUUUGUAACAUGAACAAACAUCUCAGGGGUGACACAGGGGUUUGUUUACACACACAGGUGCCAAUUAACAGCAGCUGAAGCUGGGCUUCCAUUACAGUGAGGAAACCUCUUCUCCACACCUACUAAUGCUCCUGCCAUGGCUGGGUAGGGCUGAAUACACCUGCAGUUAUACAAAUGAGGAACUGUAGAACCUGUACUGUUGAUCUUCAGAGCUGGCAGAUGUUCCCAAAGUCACCCUGCUUAUAUGCUCAGAAACAGAUUUAAAUCCAUUUCACUCACGUUGACAAUUCAAAAUUACAUUUCCCCCAUGCCCAUUCCCCACCUCCCUACCCCCGCCAAAAUCAAAUAAUCUAAUUGUAGCAGCAGGCUGCAGCCUCUGUGGUCCCCUGCCCUCUAACCUGGCUUUUCACGCCCAUAUCAGCUGCCAGCACCAGUGUCAUGACCUGGAUUCAAAGAUGCUUUUUAAACCCCUGAUUACAUGGCCUACUUCCUGGCAAUGGAAAUGAGGCCAGGUGGAUUCUAUUUUAAAAGCCUGCUAAAGACCAUGGCUAAAAUAGCUGACAAUAUUACCAGACCACUGGGGCUUAAAGGGUUUCACAGUGCCUCUGUGUCUGAGAGAUGUGCUGGUUUUAUCUCUGUGGUUUAUGUUUCAUUUGCUAAUAGGAUUUUAGGAACCUUACUGGUGUCAUGCCUCUCCCCUUCUCAUUCCCUGGCAGUUCCUCCCUCGAUGUUUGUGGGGAAUCUCUAACCUUUUUACAGACCAGAUUGCCACUAACAUGGCAAUCCUCCACCACCCUGCUCCAAAGAAGCUACAAGCAAUUUCCAAGUACCCCUAAAAUUACAGCAAAUUGAGGAUGGAUGCUCAGUGAGAACAAGGUCAGCAGGACUCCCACAAAACUCUUCCCCACAGCAGCUGCAUUUGAAGCAUAAGGACAUAUUUCUGCUUCCAAGCACCUGCCCACACCAGAGCUGAAGGAUUAGCUGGGUUUUACCUCCUAAACACAAAUAAUGCUUCCUAUUAAAGGAUUUGCUGGACUAGACUAUGAGACUGACACAUAGUAUUUGAUCCACUGCAGAGCUAACUGUGCCAGCAGCCUCUGAAGUUGGUGAAGAAGUGAAGGUGGUAGGUACAAGAAAAGCUGUUCUGGAUCUACCAGAAUGAAAAUGAAAGUGCCAAGUACUCAGCUUGAAAUGGAAAGUGGAAGAUACUGUUAGCCUGCAUUUUUCACCUGUGGAAGAGGAUGAAAUUCUAUCAAAGCAGAACAACCCCUUUCUUGGUCUGUAGUGUUAUCCCGAAACAUUCACCUACUUAUGAUAUUGCAGGAGAAACAACUAACUCAUGUUUGAGGUAGGGAGAAUGACAGCUCAGAAAGUGCUGUGGUAACAUGUCCGUGGAUCCAGGGUAGCUGUCUUGGUGUUUGCUGUAACUUGUUCCAGGAAGCAGGGAUCACACUGGGACUGGGACUCUUCCAUGGAUGAUGGUGAUUUCCACCUCUGAACCUGUGCCAGCAUGGAGGUAAGUGCAGAAGCAGCUGACAAGCCAAGCACUGGCUUCUUGGAAGAGCAGCUGGAGUGAAAUGGGUUGGAAAAGGGUUUAAGGGCCGUUUCUGUGGGAAUGGACUGACAAUCCUGCUGCUUAAUUUGUGUAAAAAGAAACCAAAGCCUCCAGGUGUCUCAUUUUUCAGCAGAGUUCAAUUCCUAAAAUACAGCCAGCGUGCCCAUGCCCCAAAGUCAAGAACAUGACUUGUAGGCACAGCCAGAGACUGACUGUCUUCAGCAAAGCAAGGACCAUCAGUUUGGAGACAGAAGCACACUUCAGCAGAGGAAAUUGCGGCCUUUUCACACCUGAACUUCAAAACAUCUUUGUGGGGGAAUGAACACCUGUGGGAGUAGUGGUUUUCCAGGUCUGUCUCCUUACAAGGAAUUUGGAAUCACUGAGUUGAGGUAGGUUGCAGCCCUGUUGAUCUUUAGGCUCUCAUCAGUUGCAGUCCAUGUGGCAAACUGCUACAAAACUUUGUAUCCAUUAGCCUGAGGGUAAUUUGAGGGGCAGAUGAUAAGUUUUGGAUGACAAUUUGUAAGUUUAUUUUGAUACUUUGAAGGAGAAAAAUAAAAUCAGAAUGAGUGGUAGCAAUAUUGUUCAUGGUAGAAUUUGGUUCCUAGGCUGUGCUCUCCCUAUAGGCCCCGAAAUGGGCAGCACUGGGAGCAUGGGAAACUUCUGCUGCAUCAAGAGGGGACACCUGUUGUCGCUUUCUUUCUGUUUCUUGUUCUUCCCUGCUCAUGUAAAUGAGCAAUGGCUACUGGAAAUGAUGGUGAGAGCUGGAAGACAGCCUUCUGCCUCUUCAGUGACAUUUUCUCUUAGAAAACAAAUAUAUGAAAUGAAAUUCAAAAUCCAUCAUGCUAAAAUGCUGUAGACAACUUGCUAAAUCUUCAUUCAGGCAAUUCCUGUGAGCUCUUCUGUCAUUUGAUAGUUGUAUGGCUCUGUUACAGAAAACUUUUUGAUGUUCUGUAGAGAUUUCUAGUGCCCUUGGCAUUUCAGAGGAGAUAUUUGUGUACCCGCUACUUGCUUCCCCUUCUGGGAGAUGAACAUCACAGCCUGCCCACAUUCCCCAAGAGGCUUCACUUACUGAUGAGUGCUGUUACUGUAACAGCUGAAGUCAGCACAAUUCUGAAGUAAUGUCAUGAAUCAUAAAAUAAGCACCUCUUCUCUUUGCCAAUGCAAGCUCUGGGGUUUUCUGCCUCUUUCUAGAACUGCCAGUGCUCCCUGACUCUGCACAGGUGAGAGGCACAACAUAAGAAUCUUAGACAAAGCUUGGCCUUUCAGCCUUCUUAACCUUAGUAUGCAUUUAAUGCUAUUAACAGUAACAUCCUUCUUAAAUAUUUAAUGCACUUCCUGGAAGCUUUUCUUUUCUGAUUUCAUACCUGUUUAUCCAGCCAUCCUUUCUGCCACUGGAAGCAAAUAUUCCCCACCAAGCAAACCUUGCGCCUGUGCCACAUCCCUUUAGCAGCAGUGUUCCCUCUGCAGCCUGCACUCACAGCUGGCUGCCAGGAUCCCCCUUGCAGCUGAUCCUCACAGAGCCCAGAGGUGAAAGGCCCUUACAAAUUCAACCUGGAGCUGAAAGGCAAAGCAGACUUCCUCUGGACAGUCUUUCCUCUGCAGUGAAGACAAGCACAUCGGCCAGGAUUUCUGGUGGAGCUGCAUUAGCCAGGACAUGGACUAAGGAGAAGCUGCAUCUUCCAGCUUAACUAAAACAAAACACAGCCCUACCUCCGUUUAGCUACAAAUGCCAGCAGGAGCCUUCACCAUCCUCAAGUGCUUCACUGCUUUUGAGCUUAAAUUUCUUUUCCCUGAACUUUGAGUUAAUCAGUAGAAAUGUUGAUGUUUUCUGUAUUUCACAAAAGUGUUUUCCAACAAUUACUGCUUCCAAAAAGGUGUUUUUUUACAUGUUGACAUAAAAAAUGUGUUUUCUUUUUCUUGUUCCCUUGGCUGCAGUUAGUUAGUUCAUGUGGGAUUACAAUGGUAGCACAGUAGGAUUUUGUUUGUCUUUUCCUUGAAUGAAAUUUUGUUGAAAGUGUAAACUGUAAAAGGCAUUGAAAUUAGACAAAAAUAAAAUCAAUUUUUUAAAUGAAAA